ACCAAUUCAUAAGAGAAUAAACAUCCACAUAUAAGGAAUGGAAAACCCCUCAUUCCCUCUUCCAACAAGAUAUUCUCUUAUUAGUUAAUUCACUGUAGUAAUUGAUAGUCAUGACUCAUGAGUAUGAGACUACAACUGCACUUAUUCAAGCUAAGAGAAGCCAUUUACCUAGAAAAAACAAGAAGUCUGCUGAAGAUUAUGAUGAUAUGAUCUAUUUCACUAAGCAACGCAAUACUUCCAAUUACGUCACUCUCUCUGUAAUAAAUGCAAUCUCAACUCUCGCUUUUCACUUUGGAAGUGCGUUUCUUAGAUCAGAAAGCAAAAACAAUAGCAACUUUCCCUUUUUUUCAUCUAGCUUUAAAUUUGAGCAUCAAUAUUAUCUGGCAUAUCAUAUCUCAUUUCAUCUCGUAAAGCAUCUCCACUCCUUACUUAAAUGUUCACUCAACAGUCACUGGCAGCUCCAUGUGUUGAUGUGGGUAAAUUGAGUUACGAGCUGGAUUGUCUUACCAUAAUCUAUAACCUCAUAUUCUAAUUACGAUACGUAUAAUACAACAUAAUGCAUUAGGGGGGCCACUGUCUCAUUGGUACUGAAAGCAUAUAUUGCCCAAGGUUAGGAGUGUCUCCAGUACUCCCCCGCCCAUGCCCCCAAUGAUUGGGGACUAGAUGGGUUCUAUCAUUAUAUUGUUUUUUGUAUAGUACAGUGUAAUGCAUGAAUUACAGUAAGAAAACAUAAAGCAGACAUCCUUCUCGACCUUUCCAUUCCAACCAGGGAUUUGAAUCCCAUACCGUAUCGCCCUGUACCAGCCGACACGUACUGUUUUAGAGCAAAUCCAGUACCCUAGAUCUGUUCUACCAUUUCGGCUCACACCUACCGCCCGGUAACGAACUAUUUUUAAUUCUAAAUAAAUGCAUACAUGAUGUUCAAUUUUUUUUUUCAUGUGGACCCAUUAAACUAAUUGCAAUAAAUCUGAAAGGGUACCCAGUAUGUCAAACGUACUUGUACCGUACAAGAAGGGAAAACCAAUACUCUAGCAGUCUAGCUGGUUACUGGUGCGGUAAUGAGGACCAUGAUUCCAACUACCUACCAUUAAAUAUAACCGAACAAGACUACGAAAUAAGGAAUCAAAUACAGUAAACGAAAUGGCUACAAUCAGACAAUACUAACUCAUGGCUUCGCGGUGGAUUUCUUCGUAGGGAAUAGGGCAAGGCAGGUUCAGGUAAUCAACUAUCUCCGGCUGGAUCACGGUCGGUUUCGCCGGUGGCAUUGCGGCGGCUGGAGGCACGGCGGUGGCCAUUCGUUCGGUUUUCCUUCGUUUCUAGGGUUCGGGACAACAACAGAGAUCGAAGUUCGAAAUCGAAGAACGAGGAGAAAGGGGAG